rnacentral:rRNA from 1 species
UACAUGCAGUCGAACGCACAGCGAAAGGUGCUUGCACCUUUCAAGUGAGUGGCGAACGGGUGAGUAACACGUGGACAACCUGCCUCAAGGCUGGGGAUAACAUUUGGAAACAGAUGCUAAUACCGAAUAAAACUUAGUAUCGCAUGAUACCAGGUUAAAAGGCGCUACGGCGUCACCUAGAGAUGGAUCCGCGGUGCAUUAGUUAGUUGGUGGGGUAAAGGCCUACCAAGACAAUGAUGCAUAGCCGAGUUGAGAGACUGAUCGGCCACAUUGGGACUGAGACACGGCCCAAACUCCUACGGGAGGCUGCAGUAGGGAAUCUUCCACAAUGGGCGAAAGCCUGAUGGAGCAACGCCGCGUGUGUGAUGAAGGCUUUCGGGUCGUAAAGCACUGUUGUAUGGGAAGAAAAGUUAAGGUAGGGAAUGACCUUAGCCUGACGGUACCAUACCAGAAAGGGACGGCUAAAUACGUGCCAGCAGCCGCGGUAAUACGUAUGUCCCGAGCGUUAUCCGGAUUUAUUGGGCGUAAAGCGAGCGCAGACGGUUGGUUAAGUCUGAUGUGAAAGCCCGGAGCUCAACUCCGGAAAGGCAUUGGAAACUGGUUAACUUGAGUGCAGUAGAGGUAAGUGGAACUCCAUGUGUAGCGGUGGAAUGCGUAGAUAUAUGGAAGAACACCAGCGGCGAAGGCGGCUUACUGGACUGUAACUGACGUUGAGGCUCGAAAGUGUGGGGUAGCAAACAGGAUUAGAUACCCUGGUAGUCCACACCGUAAACGAUGAACACUAGGUGUUAGGAGGUUUCCGCCUCUUAGUGCCGAAGCUAACGCAUUAAGUGUUCCGCCUGGGGAGUACGACCGCAAGGUUGAAACUCAAAGGAAUUGACGGGGACCCGCACAAGCGGUGGAGCAUGUGGUUUAAUUCGAAGCACGCGAGACCUUACCAGU